AGCGAACGCUGGCGGCAGGCCUAACACAUGCAAGUCGAACGAAGUCUUCGGACUUAGUGGCGGACGGGUGAGUAACACGUGGGAACGUACCUUUUGUUUCGGAACAACUCAGGGAAACUUGAGCUAAUACCGGAUGAGCCCUUAGGGGGAAAGAUUUAUCGCCGAAAGAGCGGCCCGCGUUAGAUUAGCUAGUUGGUGAGGUAAAGGCUCACCAAGGCUACGAGCUAUAGCUGGUCUGAGAGGAUGAUCAGCCACACUGGGACUGAGACACGGCCCAGACUCCUACGGGAUGCAGCAGUGGGGAAUCUUGCGCAAUGGGCGAAAGCCUGACGCAGCCAUGCCGCGUGAAUGAUGAAGGUCUUAGGAUUGUAAAAUUCUUUUACCAGGGACGAUAAUGACGGUACCUGGAGAAAAAGCCCCGGCUAACUUCGUGCCAGCCGCCGCCGUAAAAC
rnacentral:rRNA from 1 species